rnacentral:rRNA from 1 species
AGAGUUUGAUCCUGGCUCAGGAUGAACGCUAGCUACAGGCUUAACACAUGCAAGUCGAGGGGCAGCAUGACCUAGCAAUAGGUUGAUGGCGACCGGCGCACGGGUGAGUAACACGUAUCCAACCUGCCGAUUAUUCCGGGAUAGCCUUUCGAAAGAAAGAUUAAUACUGGAUAGCAUAACGAGAAGGCAUCUUCUUGUUAUUAAAGAAUUUCGAUAAUCGAUGGGGAUGCGUUCCAUUAGUUUGUUGGCGGGGUAACGGCCCACCAAGACAUCGAUGGAUAGGGGUUCUGAGAGGAAGGUCCCCCACAUUGGAACUGAGACACGGUCCAAACUCCUACGGGAGGCAGCAGUGAGGAAUAUUGGUCAAUGGACGAGAGUCUGAACCAGCCAAGUAGCGUGAAGGAUGACUGCCCUAUGGGUUGUAAACUUCUUUUAUAUGGGAAUAAAGUGAGCCACGUGUGGCUUUUUGUAUGUACCAUACGAAUAAGGAUCGGCUAACUCCGUGCCAGCAGCCGCGGUAAUACGGAGGAUCCGAGCGUUAUCCGGAUUUAUUGGGUUUAAAGGGAGCGUAGGCGGAUUAUUAAGUCAGUUGUGAAAGUUUGCGGCUCAACCGUAAAAUUGCAGUUGAUACUGGUAGUCUUGAGUGCAGCAGAGGUAGGCGGAAUUCGUGGUGUAGCGGUGAAAUGCUUAGAUAUCACGAAGAACUCCGAUUGCGAAGGCAGCUUACUGGACUGUAACUGACGCUGAUGCUCGAAAGUGUGGGUAUCAAACAGGAUUAGAUACCCUGGUAGUCCACACAGUAAACGAUGAAUACUCGCUGUUUGCGAUAUACAGCAAGCGGCCAAGCGAAAGCAUUAAGUAUUCCACCUGGGGAGUACGCCGGCAACGGUGAAACUCAAAGGAAUUGACGGGGGUCCGCACAAGCGGAGGAACAUGUGGUUUAAUUCGAUGAUACGCGAGGAACCUUACCCGGGCUUAAAUUGCAACUGACGGAUUUGGAAACAGAUCUUCCUUCGGGCAGUUGUGAAGGUGCUGCAUGGUUGUCGUCAGCUCGUGCCGUGAGGUGUCGGCUUAAGUGCCAUAACGAGCGCAACCCUUAUCUUUAGUUACUAACAGGUCAUGCUGAGGACUCUAGAGAGACUGCCGUCGUAAGAUGUGAGGAAGGUGGGGAUGACGUCAAAUCAGCACGGCCCUUACGUCCGGGGCUACACACGUGUUACAAUGGGGGGUACAGAAGGCAGCUACACAGCGAUGUGAUGCUAAUCCCAAAAGCCUCUCUCAGUUCGGA